rnacentral:rRNA from 1 species
GACGAACGCUGGCGGCAUGCCUAACACAUGCAAGUCGAACGAAACCUUCGGGUCUAGUGGCGCACGGGUUCGUAACGCGUGGGAACCUGCCCUUAGGUUCGGAAUAACUCCCCGAAAGGGGUGCUAAUACCGGAUAAUGUCUUCGGACCAAAGAUUUAUCGCCUUUGGAUGGGCCCGCGUUGGAUUAGCUAGUUGGUAGGGUAAAAGCCUACCAAGGCGACGAUCCAUAGCUGGUCUGAGAGGAUGAACAGCCACACUGGGACUGAGACACGGCCCAGACUCCUACGGGAGGCAGCAGUGGGGAAUAUUGGACAAUGGGCGAAAGCCUGAUACAGCAAUGCCGCGUGAGUGAUGAAGGCCUUAGGGUUGUAAAGCUCUUUUACCCGGGAUGAUAAUGACAGUACCGGGAGAAUAAGCACCGGCUAACUCCGUG